CGUAGGGGCAAGCGUUGUCCGGAAUGAUUGGGCGUAAAGCGCGCGCAGGCGGCUUCAUCAGUCUGAUGUGAAAGCCCACGGCUCAACCGUGGAGGGUCAUUGGAAACUGUGGAGCUUGAGUACAGGAGAGGAGAGUGGAAUUCCACGUGUAGCGGUGAAAUGCGUAGAGAUGUGGAGGAACACCAGUGGCGAAGGCGGCUCUCUGGCCUGAGACUGACGCUGAGGCGCGAAAGCGUGGGGAGCGAACAGGAUU
rnacentral:rRNA from 1 species